rnacentral:rRNA from 1 species
AUGUUUGUUAGGCAUAAAGAGAAAGAUAAUUUUCAUGUGAGGCUGCAAGUUGAUGUGCUUGAGCAGGCAUUUGGACCUAGGAUGCCGGGUGCAACAUCUCGGGGAGAAUCAAGUCGUCGUAAUGGCAUCUCUAACCAGAACAGUUCAGUUGGUGCAUGGCGACGUGGUGGCUCGACAAGUGUGGGCAACAGCAGUAGGGUCCCCCUUGAAGUGGAGCCUGAUGGCUACAAUUCUGGGGUUGAUGAAGAGAAGUUAUAUUCUGAUGUUAUUCAGAAUUUACGACGGGCACCUCGGGCUGAAAACCAAGAUGAGGCUCACAAUGCAGUCCGUGUGGAUGAUGACGCGAUGGGUGAGGACGAAGACCUUGCAGCUGUUGAAUGGGACCCUUUGAACCCUCAAAUGGAAGAAGGUACAGUUUUUGCAUCCAUGAAUGAGUGUAGAAAUGCACUUGUGACAUACUGCAUCAAGGUAGAACGUACUUUCAAAGUUGACAAGAGCGAUCAAGUACGUUACAGAGUGCACUGUCCGACUGAGGGUUGUCCAUGGAGGCUGCUUGCAGCUAAAAUGCGGAAUAGCACUAAUGUUCAGGUCAAAGUGAAUCAUUUUAAGCACACAUGCCAGGAAUCAACCCUUAGGAAGGAUACAAUCAGUAGAGCCAAGUCAAGAUGGGUGGCAGAAGAAGUAAAAAAGUGGGUGAAAGAAAACCAGCAAGUGGGUCCAAAGGAAUUGCAGAAGAACAUCAAAGAUAAGUUCAAGAUAGAUUUACCAUACAUGAGGUUGUUCAAUGGUAAACAACAUGCUAUGGAUUCUAUUUAUGGUAACUAG